rnacentral:tRNA from 1 species
ACUGAGGUGGCAGAGUAGUGCAUUAGAUUUAAGCUUUAAUCAUAAAGGUUUAAAUCCUUUCUUUAGUA